AUGGAGCGCGGCGACCACACACCCUUCGGUCGACGCCCGCUCCUCCGCUCUAGUCGCGUCCCGCGGGAAAGGAAGAAAAGUGCCCACAGCCCCCCAGAGGCAGCGGCCGAACCUAAUCUGGGCGGCCCCUUCGGCGAUGAAGCAGCUCCGCCGGCAGCCGCCUUGACUGUGAGAUCUCCCGCAGGCGGCCGCCGCUACAGAUGCGGCCGCCGCCGCCGCUGCUGCUGCCGCCUCCGAGAACCCGGGCCCCGGCUCAUGAAGUGGGCACCGUGCGGAGAGAGCAGCGAGGCGGUGAGACAAGAAAUAAAGAUAAAGAAAAACGGGAAAGAAGAAAAAGGAAGCGCUGGGUGGCAGAGAAGACAGUGCCUUCCCCCUCUGGGGAUGACAGCCCACCAGAGCCCCCUCCCCUUCUCUUCCCUUUCCUCCCGCCCUCCAACCCUAAGCCUCAAGUCAGGCACAAACGAUAGCCACCGCCGCCCGCUGCCGCUGCUGCUGCAGCCUCCACCGCCACCGCCGCCGCCUCAGCAGCUGCAGCAGGGACAUCCACCCCGCGCGCCUGCCCCGCGCAGACUGAACUGGCCGCGCGGGCGCCCAGGCUCCCCUCCUCCCAAACCCUCCCCCGCCCCCCAGCCGCUGGCUCCACAGAGCAUGCCCAGUAUUGCAGCCGCCGCCGCCGCCGCCGCCGCCGUCUCCCCUGGUCGGGAUCCUGGCGCCUCGCCGUGCACUGCUGGAAAACUUUGCCUGCCCUGGGAUGUGCCUUCUCUGAUGGCUCUUCACUAUCUCUGCCUCUGAACUCAAAGCCUGCUCUCUUGAUUGAUGACUUCUCCUUUCUAACCCAUCAUUUUAGGCAAGCACCAGGCAUGUUUCACCUCACUCCUUAUCCAGGCCAACUCCAUAGACUAGCCAACUGCCUUUCUGACCCUGAUUUACCUUUUCCUUCCCUUACCACCCCGAAUACACAGUUCUGGAACUCCUUCAGUUUUGCUAAAGGAAGUGUGUAAUGACACAAUUUUUAGGACCAAAUAUGUUCCCUGGUUCUCUCUCUUUUAUGUGCUGCUCUGACACCCAACACCAUUAAAAAGUAAGGUCCUCCAGGGCAAGGAAUCUCUUUGGUUUUGUAUUUAUAUUGCUAGUACUUAGUACUUGGCUUCCUAAAUGCUUUUUUAUUCAUUCAUUCAUAGUAGUACUUCAGUAACUGUUGCAAUACUGUAAAUUAAUAUUAAUGUCCAGGAAAGUUAACACAAUGACUUAAAUUCUCACUAAGGAAGGUCUAAGUGACAGAUAUUGGAUCUUUUCCAGAGCAGGCUUUGAGAGGGAAGGAAGAGAACACUGAGACAAAGUAUCUUAAGGAAAGGGGAAGAAAGAGAAGCAAAAAGAGGUUAGGUGGCCCAAUGACAGCUUCUCUAAAUUCAUAAUUCUGCCCAGGGCCAUCACUGGUCACAUCUCUGGCCAGCACUAUUUCCCAAUUUUCCUCCCUUCUCCUUAUAUCAUCCAAGCAAGCUUUCUGCAACAGUUCUUAAAUCCCACUGAGCAGUUAAACAUUUCAGUCAGUUGUUCUUGAGACUUCUAGCUGGCUAUUUGUUCUCUUAUCUCCUCAUUGUAUUUGGCAUUAGUGUUCUGAAAGCAGCUGGGAAGGAGGGCCAUGCAUGGAGAAACUGUCAGUAGAGACACUGAAUCUUAUGCUCCUGACCCUCCUUCUCUUUGCUCCCUCCAAGAGGGCAUGUACCCAACAGUGUGUUAAUGACGAAUCUCAAGUCUUUUGGGGAAGAAGGUGAUAAAUGUCUUGUUGAGAUAGCCAGAAAAUAGUUUCCACCCACAAACCUGCCAAAGUUGUUGGCUGUGGGGCCCCUCCACAGCAAUUCCUUUCUCACUGCAAGGUAUUUCUGACUUCACUAUGUUGGAGUCUUAUAGGAUUAAAUUAUUGGCUCAACACUGGGAUGAGUAUCCAUUCCAGUCUGAGUAUGAAUCCUAGUUUAGAAAUGAAUUUUCCGUAUGCCAAAGACUGCAUUUAGAAAUUUCUGGCUAUUUUAUUCUCCUCAGAUCCAUAUGCUCCACAUACUUAAUCCACCUGGAAUUUACUGGAGAAUUUGCUCCCACUUGCAGGACCCAUCAGAGGCCCCAGAAGAUCACCUGCCUGUAAUCUAAUGUGUGUUUGGUGUUUCAUAUUCCAUUUCUCCAUUACCCUUCUAUAAUCGAAGAAAAAUAGGGUUAAAGUCAGAAGAUCACAGUCCCUGCCUGUGACUACCUAUGCAAAUAUUGAGCAAAUCACUUCAUUUUUCUGGCCCUCAGUUUCCUCAUUUGUAAAAUGAUAGAGUGAGCCUAGAUGACCUCAGCAGGUCCAAAUUAAUGAUCUGUAUGAAUUGCUAGGUCAAAAUAGAAAUAGUUAGAUUUAUAAAAUUGCUUUAUAGAAGGGGCUGUCCACAUUUUUGUAAAUACUUCUUUUUAUCUUCUUUUUCAAAAGGGUAUAAGCCACAACCAAAUUUUUAUAAUACAUGUCAGCUCUCACUAAGCAGAAGUCAAAUCAAAUCAAUUCAGUUUUUAAAAUAUAUUGCAUUACUACUGUGUAGAAAGCAUUAUCAGAGAUUAAGAUAAGGUAUUACCCCUACAUUUGUUUUGUUCAGAGCCUGGGGAGAGGGAUACAUAUUACAUAUUUAUCUUGGAAAGAUUCUGCGAUUCUGUAAAUUCAUUAUAGAAAUUAAAAAUGUGACAAACACACCUAGGAUUGAAGAGAAUUGACCAGAGAAUGGUAUGUCAAGUGUUUAACAUAUAAAGAGGAACCUGAGAGGACCAGAAAAACUUAUCCAAGAACACAAAUUUUGAGUGGAUGUUAUAGGAUGGGUAGGAAUGCAACAGGUAGAGCUGGAGGAGGGAGAAGACCAUGAUUUCCAUAAUUCACAGACCAGAGCAGAAAAGCAGGAAUCCUAUAUAAAUAAAUAAAAAAUAUAAAUUGGCUGGAGUUUAUAG
ensembl:lncRNA